rnacentral:rRNA from 1 species
AUCGAACGCUGGCGGCAUGCCUUACACAUGCAAGUCGAACGGCAGCACGGGUGCUUGCACCUGGUGGCGAGUGGCGAACGGGUGAGUAAUACAUCGGAACGUACCUUAUCGUGGGGGAUAACGCAGCGAAAGCUGUGCUAAUACCGCAUACGCCCUGAGGGGGAAAGCGGGGGAUCGAAAGACCUCGCGCGAUUAGAGCGGCCGAUGCCUGAUUAGCUUGUUGGUGGGGUAAAAGCCCACCAAGGCGACGAUCAGUAGCUGGUCUGAGAGGACGAUCAGCCACACUGGGACUGAGACACGGCCCAGACUCCUACGGGAGGCAGCAGUGGGGAAUUUUGGACAAUGGGGGCAACCCUGAUCCAGCAAUGCCGCGUGAGUGAAGAAGGCCUUCGGGUUGUAAAGCUCUUUUGUCAGGGAAGAAACACCGGCUCUAACACAGUCCGGGAAUGACGGUACCUGAAGGAUAAGCACCGGCUAACUACGUGCCAGCCGCCGCAGUAA